CCUACGGGAGGCAGCAGUGAGGAAUAUUGGUCAAUGGACGGAAGUCUGAACCAGCCAUGCCGCGUGCAGGAAGACGGCUCUAUGAGUUGUAAACUGCUUUUGUACAAGGGUAAACCUGAAUACGUGUAUUCAGCUGAAAGUACUGUACGAAUAAGGAUCGGCUAACUCCGUGCCAGCAGCCGCGGUAAUACGGAGGCUCCAAGCGUUAUCCGGAUUUAUUGGGUUUAAAGGGUGCGUAGGCGGUUUUAUAAGUUAGGGUGAAAAUAUCGGGGUUUAAUCGGGAUAUGCCCUUAAUACUGUUGAUCUAGAGAGUAGAUGCGGUAGGCGGAAUGUAUGGUGUAGCGGUGAAAUGCUUAGAGAUCAUACAGAACACCGAUUGCGAAGGCAGCUUACCAAUCUAUAUCUGACGUUGAGGCACGAAAGCGUGGGGAGCAAACAGGAUUAGAUACCCUAGUAGUC
rnacentral:rRNA from 1 species